rnacentral:rRNA from 1 species
AUAUAUAAAACCUAGAUUAUUAGUAGUUAAGUUCUUGAAAAUUAAUAAAGAUGGCGGUAUUUUAGUCUAUUCAGAGGAAUCUGUCCUGUAAUUGAUAAUCCACGAUUUAUAUUACUUAAGUUUUUAGUUUAUAUAUCGCUGUAAGUUGAAUAUUUUUAUUGAAAUUUAAUAUUCAUAAUUUUUUAGGAAAGAAAAUCAAGUCAAGAUGUAGCUUAUAUUUAAGAAGAGAUGGAUUACAUUAUAUUUAAAUGUGGUUGGAAGUUUGAAAAAAUUUCCAUAAAAUGGAUUUGAAUGUAAUUUUUUAUUAAAAUAUGAAAAAUGAUUUAAGCUCUAAAAU